AGAGUUUGAUCCUGGCUCAGGAUGAACGCUGGCGGCGUGCUUAACACAUGCAAGUCGAACGAAGCACUUGAGAACGAUUCUUCGGAUGAGGACUUUUGUGACUGAGUGGCGGACGGGUGAGUAACGCGUGGGUAACCUGCCCUAUACAGGGGGAUAACAGUUAGAAAUGACUGCUAAUACCGCAUAAGCGCACAGGACCGCAUGGUUCGGUGUGAAAAACUGAGGUGGUAUAGGAUGGACCCGCGUCUGAUUAGCUUGUUGGUGGGGUAACGGCUCACCAAGGCGACGAUCAGUAGCCGGCCUGAGAGGGCGACCGGCCACAUUGGGACUGAGACACGGCCCAAACUCCUACGGGAGGCAGCAGUGGGGAAUAUUGCACAAUGGGGGAAACCCUGAUGCAGCGACGCCGCGUGAGUGAAGAAGUAUUUCGGUAUGCAAAGCUCUAUCAGCAGGGAAGAAAAUGACGGUACCUGACUAAGAAGCCCCGGCUAACUACGUG
rnacentral:rRNA from 1 species